CCUCUCUCAGGAUUGCAACUGGAGAGUUUCCAAUACUCUACCAGCCUCGGCUAUGGGAGGGAGAGUCAAGCAGAGGCCUGCCCAUUCCUUUCCUAGCUUGGGCCGUGGCUAGCGAGUGGAAGACCGUCCGCUACAAGU